GUGUUCACUUUGGCAGCUCAUAUACUAAAAUUAGAACAAUACAGAGAUUAUUAGCAUGGCCCCUCUGCAAGAAUGACAUGCAAAUUUAUAAAGUGUUCCAUAUAUUU